rnacentral:rRNA from 1 species
GAUGAACGCUGGCGGCGUGCCUAAUACAUGCAAGUCGAGCGAACGGACGAGAAGCUUGCUUUUCUGAUGUUAGCGGCGGACGGGUGAGUAACACGUGGAUAACCUACCUAUAAGACUGGGAUAACUUCGGGAAACCGGAGCUAAUACCGGAUAAUAUUUUGAACCGCAUGGUUCAAAAGUGAAAGACGGUCUUGCUGUCACUUAUAGAUGGAUCCGCGCUGCAUUAGCUAGUUGGUAAGGUAACGGCUUACCAAGGCAACGAUGCAUAGCCGACCUGAGAGGGUGAUCGGCCACACUGGAACUGAGACACGGUCCAGACUCCUACGGGAGGCAGCAGUAGGGAAUCUUCCGCAAUGGGCGAAAGCCUGACGGAGCAACGCCGCGUGAGUGAUGAAGGUCUUCGGAUCGUAAAACUCUGUUAUUAGGGAAGAACAUAUGUGUAAGUAACUGUGCACAUCUUGACGGUACCUAAUCAGAAAGCCACGGCUAACUACGUGCCAGCAGCCGCGGUAAUACGUAGGUGGCAAGCGUUAUCCGGAAUUAUUGGGCGUAAAGCGCGCGUAGGCGGUUUUUUAAGUCUGAUGUGAAAGCCCACGGCUCAACCGUGGAGGGUCAUUGGAAACUGGAAAACUUGAGUGCAGAAGAGGAAAGUGGAAUUCCAUGUGUAGCGGUGAAAUGCGCAGAGAUAUGGAGGAACACCAGUGGCGAAGGCGACUUUCUGGUCUGUAACUGACGCUGAUGUGCGAAAGCGUGGGGAUCAAACAGGAUUAGAUACCCUGGUAGUCCACGCCGUAAACGAUGGGUGCUAAGUGUUAGGGGGUUUCCGCCCCUUAGUGCUGCAGCUAACGCAUUAAGCACUCCGCCUGGGGAGUACGACCGCAAGGUUGAAACUCAAAGGAAUUGACGGGGACCCGCACAAGCGGUGGAGCAUGUGGUUUAAUUCGAAGCAACGCGAAGAACCUUACCAAAUCUUGACAUCCUUUGACAACUCUAGAGAUAGAGCCUUCCCCUUCGGGGGACAAAGUGACAGGUGGUGCAUGGUUGUCGUCAGCUCGUGUCGUGAGAUGUUGGGUUAAGUCCCGCAACGAGCGCAACCCUUAAGCUUAGUUGCCAUCAUUAAGUUGGGCACUCUAAGUUGACUGCCGGUGACAAACCGGAGGAAGGUGGGGAUGACGUCAAAUCAUCAUGCCCCUUAUGAUUUGGGCUACACACGUGCUACAAUGGACAAUGCAAAGGGCAGCGAAACCGCGAGGUCAAGCAAAUCCCAUAAAGUUGUUCUCAGUUCGGAUUGUAGUCUGCAACUCGACUACAUGAAGCUGGAAUCGCUAGUAAUCGUAGAUCAGCAUGCUACGGUGAAUACGUUCCCGGGUCU